rnacentral:rRNA from 1 species
CCUUGAUCCCCCCGACGUGCGCGGUUCGCCGCCGGCGACGUCGCGAGAAUUCCACUGAACCUUAUCAUUUAGAGGAAGGAGAAGUCGUAACAAGGUUUCCGUAGGUGAACCUGCGGAAGGAUCAUUGUCGAACCCUGCAAGGCAGAACGACCCGUGAACANUGUAAAUACAACUGGGUGAUGGGGAGACUGACAUUGGUCCUUAUCCUCAUCCUCUCCUGGCAUGCGUUUGUGGUGCCUUGUAUGGGGUGCCAUAGAUGACACGCUGGACCAUAACAAAAACCCGGCACGGCAUGUGCCAAGGAAAACAAAAAUUGAGAUGGACUCGUCUUGUGUUGCCCCGUUCGCGGUGUGCAUGCAGUUCGUGGCCUCUUUGUAAUUACAACGACUCUCGGCAACGGAUAUCUCGGCUCACGCAUCGAUGAAGAACGUAGCAAAAUGCGAUACUUGGUGUGAAUUGCAGAAUCCCGUGAACCAUCGAGUUUUUGAACGCAAGUUGCGCCCGAAGCCAUCCGGUCGAGGGCACGCCUGCCUGGGCGUCACGCAUCGCGUCGCCCCCACCAUAUCUUGGUGAUGGGAGCGGAGAUUGGUCUCCCGUACUUGGUUGCGGUUGGCCUAAAAAGGAGUCCCCUACAGCGGACACACGACUAGUGGUGGUUGAANUAGACCCUNCGUUUUUAUCGUGUGUCGUGAGNNCUGUUNUGGGAAGCCCUCAACUAAANACCCGAUUNGUAUCGUUUUAGGACGGUGCUUCGACCGCGACCCCAGGUCAGGCGGGACUACCCGCUGAGUUUAAGCAUAUCAAUAAGCGGA